rnacentral:rRNA from 1 species
GAUGAACGCUAGCGGCAGGCUUAACACAUGCAAGUCGAGGGGUAGAGGAAGCUUGCUUCCUUGAGACCGGCGCACGGGUGCGUAACGCGUAUACAAUCUACCUUUUACAGAGGGAUAGCCCCAGAGAAAUUUGGAUUAAUACCUCAUAGUAUUUUCGGAUCGCAUGAUUUGAUUAUUAAAGUUCCAACGGUAAAGAUGAGUAUGCGUCCCAUUAGCUAGAUGGUAAGGUAACGGCUUACCAUGGCAAUGAUGGGUAGGGGUCCUGAGAGGGAGAUCCCCCACACUGGUACUGAGACACGGACCAGACUCCUACGGGAGGCAGCAGUGAGGAAUAUGGACAAUGGGCGCAAGCCUGAUCCAGCCAUGCCGCGUGCAGGAUGACGGUCCUAUGGAUUGUAAACUGCUUUUAUACAGGAAGAAACNCUCCGACGUGUCGGAG